rnacentral:rRNA from 1 species
ACUGCAGUCGAGCGGAAGAAGGGAGCUUGCUCCCGGAUGUUAGCGGCGGACGGGUGAGUAACACGUGGGUAACCUGCCUGUAAGACUGGGAUAACUCCGGGAAACCGGAGCUAAUACCGGAUAGUUCCUUGAACCGCAUGGUUCAAGGAUGAAAGACGGUUUCGGCUGUCACUUACAGAUGGACCCGCGGCGCAUUAGCUAGUUGGUGGGGUAAUGGCUCACCAAGGCGACGAUGCGUAGCCGACCUGAGAGGGUGAUCGGCCACACUGGGACUGAGACACGGCCCAGACUCCUACGGGAGGCAGCAGUAGGGAAUCUUCCGCAAUGGACGAAAGUCUGACGGAGCAACGCCGCGUGAGUGAUGAAGGUUUUCGGAUCGUAAAGCUCUGUUGUUAGGGAAGAACAAGUGCGAGAGUAACUGCUCGCACCUUGACGGUACCUAACCAGAAAGCCACGGCUAACUACGUGCCAGCAGCCGCGGUAAUACGUAGGUGGCAAGCGUUGUCCGGAAUUAUUGGGCGUAAAGGGCUCGCAGGCGGUUUCUUAAGUCUGAUGUGAAAGCCCCCGGCUCAACCGGGGAGGGUCAUUGGAAACUGGGAAACUUGAGUGCAGAAGAGGAGAGUGGAAUUCCACGUGUAGCGGUGAAAUGCGUAGAGAUGUGGAGGAACACCAGUGGCGAAGGCGACUCUCUGGUCUGUAACUGACGCUGAGGAGCGAAAGCGUGGGGAGCGAACAGGAUUAGAUACCCUGGUAGUCCACGCCGUAAACGAUGAGUGCUAAGUGUUAGGGGGUUUCCGCCCCUUAGUGCUGCAGCUAACGCAUUAAGCACUCCGCCUGGGGAG